GACGAACGCUGGCGGCGUGCUUAACACAUGCAAGUCGAACGGAAAGGCCCCUUUGGGGGUACUCGAGUGGCGAACGGGUGAGUAACACGUGAGUAACCUGCCCUUGACUUCGGGAUAACUUCAGGAAACUGGGGCUAAUACCGGAUAGGAAUCCUUGCUGCAUGGUGGGGGUUGGAAGGCUUCGGCGGUUUUGGAUGGACUCGCGGCUUAUCAGCUUGUUGGUGGGGUAGUGGCUUACCAAGGCUUUGACGGGUAGCCGGCCUGAGAGGGCGACCGGCCACAUUGGGACUGAGAUACGGCCCAGACUCCUACGGGAGGCAGCAGUGGGGAAUAUUGCACAAUGGGCGGAAGCCUGAUGCAGCAACGCCGCGUGCGGGAUGACGGCCUUCGGGUUGUAAACCGCUUUCAGCAGGGGCGAAGCUUGUGGUGACGGUACCUGCAGAAGAAGCACCGGCUAACUACGUG
rnacentral:rRNA from 1 species